rnacentral:rRNA from 1 species
AUUGAACGCUGGCGGCAGGCCUAACACAUGCAAGUCGAACGAGUGGCGGACGGGUGAGUAAGGUAGGGGAAACUGCCUGAUGGAGGGGGAUAACUACUGGAAAAGGUAGCUAAUACCGCAUACCAUCAGAUGUGCCAAGAUGGGUUUGGCUAGUUGGUGGGGUAAAGGCUCACCAAGGGGACGAUCCCUAGCAGGUCUGAGAGGAUGACCAGCCACACUGGAACUGAGACACGGUCCAGACUCCUACGGGAGGCAGCAGUGGGGAAUAGUGCACAAUGGGCGCAAGCCUGAUGCAGCCAUGCCGCGUGUAUGAAGAAGGCCUUCGGGUUGUAAAGUACUUUCAGCGGGGAGGCGUUACCCGCAGAAGAAGCACCGGCUAACUCUGUGCCAGCAGCCGCGGUAAUUC